rnacentral:rRNA from 1 species
CCAAUAGCGUAUAUUAAAGUUGUUGCAGUUAAAAAGCUCGUAGUUGAAUUUCGGGAUCAAUUUGUCGGUCGUGCCUCGGUACGUACUGGUAUUAUUGGUUUCUACCUUCUGAAGAACCUUGAUGUCAUUUAUUUGGUGUCUUGGGGAAUCAGGACUGUUACUUUGAAAAAAUUAGAGUGUUUAAAGCAAGCAUACGCUUGAAUACAUUAGCAUGGAAUAA